GACGAACGCUGGCGGCGUGCCUAACACAUGCAAGUCGAACGGGACCAGGGGCAACUCUGGUUCAGUGGCGGACGGGUGCGUAACACGUGAGGAACAUGACCUUGGCGGGGGAGUAGCCGGCCCAACGGCCGGGUAAUACCGCGUACGACCACUUGGGGACAUCCUUGAGUGGUGAAAGCAGCAAUGCGCCGAUGAAGUGCCUCGCGGCCUAUCAGCUAGUUGGUGAGGAACGGCUCACCAAGGCGACGACGGGUAGCUGGUCUGAGAGGAUGGCCAGCCACAUUGGGACUGAGACACGGCCCAGACUCCUACGGGAGGCAGCAGU
rnacentral:rRNA from 1 species